AUGGAUAUAGCUCAGUCAGGUAGAGCGGCGGUCUCCAAAACCGUGUGCCGGGGUUCAAAUCCCUGUAUCCAUG
rnacentral:tRNA from 1 species